UACGUAGGGUGCGAGCGUUGUCCGGAAUUAUUGGGCGUAAAGAGCUCGUAGGCGGUCUGUCGCGUCGAUCGUGAAAACUUGGGGCUUAACCCUGAGCUUGCGGUCGAUACGGGCAUGACUGGAGUUCGGCAGGGGAGAAUGGAAUUCCUGGUGUAGCGGUGAAAUGCGCAGAUAUCAGGAAGAACACCCGUGGCGAAGGCGGUUCUCUGGGACGGUACUGACGCUGAGACGCGAAAGCGUGGGGAGCGAACAGG
rnacentral:rRNA from 1 species